rnacentral:tRNA from 1 species
AGAAAUAUUUUUUUAAAAAAGCUUCUAACUUUUUACAAAGCAAUAAUAUGUUUAUAUUU